UUUAUUAUCACCAUGAUCUGAUCCGGAUCUUGGAUUUACAUGCAUUACAACAACAACACAAGAUCCUGCUUUGUGUUUGGAUCUCAAUUUGAGAUCCAAAAUUUAAUUCUUUUUUUCACAACAAGGAGCGCUCUAUCAUUGUGAUUUCACAUGUAAAUGUUGGUAUCAUUGCAAACAAAUUAAAUAAAACCUGUAUUGCCAUAUAAACAUUUCCAUUUGACUGAAAUAAAAUAUUUUUUAAAUAGAAAGUGAGAAGCUUUAUAUUUAUUUAUUUGGCAUAUAAUCCAUGAAAUAAUUAGAUAUUUUAACAAAACUUGAUAUUAAUUGGUGAAAUUCAAAUAAUUAAGUCCAAAAAAAUGUAUAUUUGACAUAAUUUAUGGGCAUUCUUUUCCCAAAAAAAAAAAGAACAAAAAAAAAUCAUUGAGCAAAAUGUUCUAUGGGCAACCCUGCUUUAAACGUCAAAAAAUAUAAACAAAAUCGAGAAAUCUGCAGCAGAAAUGGGAGAAAAUACAAAUAAAUCGUCAAAACGAAUCUGGACUACAGAUGAGACGAAAGCGUUCCUGGAUGCUUUUUUGAGUUUGAGAGUGCCAGACUCAAAAAGUUCGCAAUGAGAAAUGUCUUGGAAGAUCUUACUUCGUUUGGAGUUUUGACUCAAACGACAACCGAAGAGAUGCUGAAAACAAAAUUAAAAAACCUCUUGAGGGCCUACAAAUCCAGCAUAGACCACAACAAAAGAACUGGAGAAUCUUUUAUUAAAGCUCCUUUUGCAGAGCAGAUGGAAGAAAUUUUUGGUUCGAAGCCCAUAAUGAAAAACAGCCACACCAUAACUCUAUGGGAGGAGACAACCGAAGGGCUGUCAA